GCUUACGGCUAUACCAACCUGGCUAUGCCCGAUCUCGUCUGGUCUCGUAAGCUAAGCAGGUUUGGCCUGGUUAGUACUUGGAUGGGAGACCGCCUGGGAAUACCAGGUGCUGUAAGCU
rnacentral:rRNA from 1 species